AACGAACGCUGGCGGCAGGCCUAAAACAUGCAAGUCGAACGAUCUAGCAAUAGAUAGUGGCGCACGGGUGCGUAACGCGUGGGAAUAUCCCCUUCACUACGGAACAGCGUCGGGAAACUGACGCUAAUACCGUAUAAUGACUCCGGUCCAAAGAUUUAUCGGUGAAGGAUUAGCCCGCGUCUGAUUAGGUAGUUGGUGAG
rnacentral:rRNA from 1 species